UGCUCACCGUGUCCUGCCUCUGGCUCAGCUUCAGAAUGCCCCUGAGCACCAGCUGCUGCAUGCCCACGCUCUGGCUCUGCAGAUAGGUGGUAAAGAGUAUCAUGAUGCGGUGCAGCUCUUUGUUGAGGUCCACGCAGUCCAGCAUCUGCAACACACGCGGCUCUUAGUGCUGGAUCCAGCAACCCGCUUGGGGAAAGACAGCAAGGCAUGGCCAAGCCUGGUCCCGAGGGAGGCAGCAGGACUCGUGCCACCAGUGGCGUUGCAGCCUCAAGUUCACCGCUUCUGCAGCUGGUGCUCACCUCAAUGAGGAAGACCAUGGCCACCGUCUCCCAGGAGUAGAAGAAGCUGGUGCUGAGCAGCUCAACCAGGUGGUGGAAGAUGGGGUCACGCAGAGCACCAGGCAGCUCUCUCAUCACCCUGGCAGGGAUAAGAAGGCACCGUGAGCCCCGAGCCAGGGGGACGCAGCUCUGGCUGUGCAGCCCUCUUGCCAACGCCGCAGGGGCCACAGGCUGUGGUGGUGCUGUGGCAGCACUUUCUCAGAGAACUGGGGACCCCCUGCCACCCUGAGGGAGGAGUUCUCACCUGGCCACCACCUGUACACCCUGGAGGUGGGUCACAGUGCUGAGAAGCGCGUCCCAGCCGCCCUGCUCCUGGAUGGCCUCCAUCUGCCUCUGGAGGCCCACGCUGCAGAGCAGCACCUUCAAGGACUGCACCACAGCCCUGCAGGUGGAGAAGGGUGUGAGUCACAUCGGGAGCCCCAGCACCGGGUGCCUGGGUGCAGCGGGAGGACUGGGAUGUGGCACCUGAUGGGAGUGAGCUGGUGCUGCUGGUGCGCCUCGAAGAAGAUUUCCACCUCCUGCUGUGUCAGGUUCACGGUGAAGGACACUUGCAGGAGGAGGGCCAGGAAGAGCUGGGGGAAGAUGGCUUCGGCCUCCUUCAGGACCAGAGGUAGCUGGAGUAUCUCCGGUAGGACCUUUGCUGCCUGCAGAAAGCACCCGGAUACAAUUCUUGCCCUGUCCCACAGUACCAUCUGCAAACAACACUCAACUGGGAGGAGCUGCAGAGAGAUGCUGACAAAUUGGAGGGCUGGGCAACUGCGCAGUUGGUAUGAAGUUUAGGAGAGCAAGUGGUGGAUUCUGCCACUGGGAUGGGACAGCCCUGGCUCUGUGCACACCCUGCGGGAGGGGAGGCUGCAGAGCAGCCCCACAAAAGGGCUUGGGGGGUUCUGGUGAACGGCAAGUUGCAUCUGAGCCGGCAGCGUGCCCCGACAGCCCAAAGGGCCAACCGUACCCUGGGGCGCAUCAGGCCCAGCACUCCCCAGGAAAGGACCGUCCCGCUCUGCUCUGCUCUGCUCUGCUCUGCUCUGCUCUGCCCGGUGCAGCCCGUGAGAAUGUCCGAC
ensembl:lncRNA